CGCGUCUGACUCCAGAUCAGAAGGUUGCGUGUUCGAAUCACGUCGGGGUCACGGCUGUGGCUUUUCUGUUUAGCGGCCCGAAUUGAUUCGAUUCGGUAGUAAAACGAAACAAAAUAAGGGGCGGCCCGCUACCUCCCCGCCUCGGGCUUUCUCUGACUUUUUUUUUAGUCCAAGGGCACUUCUCGUGAACAACUCAGCAAAGGACCGGCAGUUCAGCUGAAGGGUGAGGAUGACCCGGAGGGGGCGGGGACCCCACAGAAGCCGACAUGUUCCCUGUCCAGCAUAGAUCCCAAUGCAGGGAUUGAACUCAUGACCCUGAGAUCAAGACCCCAGCUGAGACCAAGAGUUGGAUGCUUAACCAACUGGGCUACCCAGGCAUCCUUGAUUUAGAUUGCUUGACAAUGCCCACCACCAGCCCUGAAAUCCAGGCUUUAACACAAAGGAGCACCAAACCACAGAACAAGAAGAGAAUAGAACUGGAGCUAUAGACCAGGUGUUUCCACGCAGAGCAGAAGAGUAUCUUUCAUCCUCAUCCAGUUGUUCUUUGGCUCAAGGGGAGCAGCGGACCUUCCAGGACCAAUGUUCAUAAACUCCGGGUGUGCACAAUUUGCUGUUUCAAAGCCAAUUUCUGUCCUCGCCUCUUUCUCACGUCUAACUUUUCCUCCUGAACUCAUUCCUAUAUGUUUUUUCUUUUGUAUCUCAUCAAUUAGGACAAUAGCUUCUCAACCCUGCCUAUAGUGUGUGUGUGUUUUUUUUUUUUUUUUUUUUCUGCCUAUGGUUUUAUCAGCCAGAAUGCUUUCAAUAA